GGGGAGGAGGGCGGAGGAGCGGCGGGAGGAGCGGAGCGGGCCGCGGGGCGGGCGGUGCGUGUGGCGCUGCUGCCGGCGGGACAGCGAGAGGGACACCGCGUGUCUUGCAGGAUGGCUUUGCUUCCUGAACAGAGAGUAGCUCUUGCCAAAGGCUUGGUUGGACCUGUGCUUGCUUCUGCAUCAUGUCAUGUCUGUAUUGUGAAGGAUAUUAAAGCUUGGUGUGUGAGGAAAA